UGUAUUGUAAUCAUGUACACUUUUAAAAUUUUUUAGUGGACCAUAAACAAAUGCCUAUUAUCUAUCCUCUUUUGCAACCUAGAACUCAUUGUCCAGUACGAGUUUUUGUAUAAGAUGGAAUAUU
rfam:Tupaia chinensis contig211480, whole genome shotgun sequence.